rnacentral:rRNA from 1 species
GAUGAACGCUGGCGGCGUGCUUAACACAUGCAAGUCGAACGGUGAACACGGAGCUUGCUCUGUGGGAUCAGUGGCGAACGGGUGAGUAACACGUGAGCAACCUGCCCCUGACUCUGGGAUAAGCGCUGGAAACGGCGUCUAAUACUGGAUACGAGUAGCGGCCGCAUGGUCAGUUACUGGAAAGAAUUUCGGUUGGGGAUGGGCUCGCGGCCUAUCAGCUUGUUGGUGAGGUAAUGGCUCACCAAGGCGUCGACGGGUAGCCGGCCUGAGAGGGUGACCGGCCACACUGGGACUGAGACACGGCCCAGACUCCUACGGGAGGCAGCAGUGGGGAAUAUUGCACAAUGGGCGCAAGCCUGAUGCAGCAACGCCGCGUGAGGGAUGACGGCCUUCGGGUUGUAAACCUCUUUUAGCAGGGAAGAAGCGAAAGUGACGGUACCUGCAGAAAAAGCGCCGGCUAACUACGUGCCAGCCGCGGUAAUAC